rnacentral:rRNA from 1 species
GGGUUGUGAGGUUAAGCGACUAAGCGUACACGGUGGAUGCCCUGGCAGUCAGAGGCGAUGAAGGGCGUGCUAAUCUGCGAUAAGCGCCGGUAAGGUGAUAUGAACCGUUAUAACCGGCGAUACCCGAAUGGGGAAACCCAGUGUGACUCGUCACACUAUCAUUAACUGAAUCCAUAGGUUAAUGAGGCGAACCGGGGGAACUGAAACAUCUAAGUACCCCGAGGAAAAGAAAUCAACCGAGAUUCCCCCAGUAGCGGCGAGCGAACGGGGAGGAGCCCAGAGCCUGAAUCAGCAUGUGUGUUAGUGGAAGCGUCUGGAAAGGCGCGCGAUACAGGGUGACAGCCCCGUACACAAAAGCGCAUGUGCUGUGAGCUCGAUGAGUAGGGCGGGACACGUGGUAUCCUGUCUGAAUAUGGGGGGACCAUCCUCCAAGGCUAAAUACUCCUGACUGACCGAUAGUGAACCAGUACCGUGAGGGAAAGGCGAAAAGAACCCCGGCGAGGGGAGUGAAAAAGAACCUGAAACCGUGUACGUACAAGCAGUGGGAGCACCCUUUUGGGUGUGACUGCGUACCUUUUGUAUAAUGGGUCAGCGACUUAUAUUCUGUAGCAAGGUUAACCGUAUAGGGGAGCCG